GUGGAUCAAAUGUGUUUAUGGUUGAGAAUUGUAUAGACAAUUUGUAUGUGCUGCUGCAUUUUUGUUGGAUCAAGUGUGUGGUGAAAAAAAGGACACGUUUUUUAUAUGGGUAGAUUUUGGAUUUGCUUGUUUUGGUUUAGGUGGUUGAUUUUGUGGAUCUGUAGAUUGUGUUCAGCAACAAUGAUUAGUAUUGGCUUGUGGUAGUUACUAGAUUGAUUCUUUCAAUGGUGCAGAUCGACAAGUUGAGUUUGAGUUGGUAGAAGUGAUCUAACUCUACUUUGGAUAGAAGUUAGUGUGUGUGUGUUAGUAUAUUCUUUGGAUAUGGAGGAAAUCUGACUGCGAAGGUGUUCAUGGUAUUCUUUUUGUUUUACUUUUUUGCUCUAGCUUGUAUAAAGUUGCUGAGAAGGUGUUCAUGGUAUUCUUCAUGUUAAAUAUGUUUUUCUUGAUGAUAAUCUUUUUCUUGCUUUUGGGGACUGAUGAAUUUAUUAUUUACAGGCCUACUUAUCUCUUCCCCGAGGACACUGCUUCUGUGAUUGGCCUAACAUCAAUGAUGUGUGACUAUUACUCUACGCUGGUGAGUAUGGAUUUCAUCUUUCCUUUUCUGGUUGGCCAGUUGUGUGGAAGUAAGCUGAUGAGGAUGAGUUUAAGAUUCACAAUAUCAUUAGAGGUGACAAUGUGCUCCCCAUUCAUCUCUGCGAUUGGGCUGAUGUAAUUGUGAUUGCUCCUCUGUCAGCACACACACUAUCAAGGAUUACGCUCACUCUGCAAGGGAUGUUGUUGUUCAUCAAUUUUGUCAUGUUGGUUCUUUCGCUUUCAUUGGCGGUGGCUCUGUGAUUGCACAGGAUGUUCCAAAGUACAUAGUGGUUGCAGGAAAAGAGCUCAGCUCCGUGUUUUAAAUCUGGAGGGUCUACGACGUCAUGGAUUCACAGUGGCAGAGGAAGCUGUCAAGGGACAAUUAUGGCGCCUACGUGAUCCCCAAGGGAAGCCACCAGGUGUAAUGGGAUGGUGGCCUUCAAGAGCUGUGAUCAACAUUUUUAAAAUGGUAGACUUAGCAGGAAACGAUGGCAUUGCCAAGGUUGGGGGCCAAGGUGUAUACAUGCAAUAAAGCAAGGCUUUGUUUCAAUGAGGCCAUGAGAGCGGCAGAGCUUGCAAAGCUAGACUCGCUAAAUAAAUUUCUGGAUGUAUAUUGCUAGGAGAGUACCAUUAGAUCUACUCCUUUUGUAGAUAAAAGAUUACCUUUGCACAAUCCAUUUUGGUGCGUGAUGUGGAUUAUAACAAUUUCUUCUAUAUAUUACUGUUAAUUUA